rnacentral:rRNA from 1 species
GACGAACGCUGGCGGCGUGCCUAACACAUGCAAGUCGAGCGGGGAUUAAGGAAGAGCUUGCUCAGAAUUAAUCCUAGCGGCGGACGGGUGAGUAACGCGUGAGCAACCUGCCUUUCACAGGGGGAUAACGCAUCGAAAGGUGUGCUAAUACCGCAUGAGACCACAGGGGGACAUCCUCCAGGGGUCAAAGGAGCAAUCCGGUGAAAGAUGGGCUCGCGUCUGAUUAGCUAGUUGGUGAGGUAACGGCCCACCAAGGCGACGAUCAGUAGCCGACCUGAGAGGGUGAUCGGGCCACAUUGGGAACUGAGAGACGGUCCAAACUCCUACGGGAGGCAGCAGUGGGGAAUAUUGGGCAAUGGGGGGAACCCUGACCCAGCAACGCCGCGUGAAGGGAAGAAGGUUUUCGGAUUGUAAACUUCUGUCCUAUGAGACGAAGGGAAGU